rnacentral:rRNA from 1 species
UACGUAGGGUGCAAGCGUUGUCCGGAAUUAUUGGGCGUAAAGAGCUCGUAGGCGGUCUGUUGCGUCCGCUGUGAAAACUCGGGGCUUAACCCCGAGCCUGCAGUGGAUACGGGCAGACUAGAGGUAGGUAGGGGAGAAUGGAAUUCCCGGUGUAGCGGUGAAAUGCGCAGAUAUCGGGAGGAACACCGGUGGCGAAGGCGGCGAUCUGGGUCGAUACUGACGCUGAGGUGCGAAAGCGUGGGGAGCAAACAGG